rnacentral:rRNA from 1 species
GUGUAAGUAUAAAUAAUUUUACUUUGAAACUGCGAAUGGCUCAUUAUAUCAUUUAUAGUUUAUUAGAAAUACUUUACUACUUGGAUAACCGUAGUAAUUCUAGGGCUAAUACAUGAGUAAAUCCUCAACUUCGGAAGAGGUGUGUUUAUUAGUAUGAAAACCAUAUAUCUUCGGAUAUAAUAGUGAGUAAUAAUAACCUUUCAUAUCGUAUGUCGUAAGAUAACGAUAGUUCUUUCAAGUUUCUGCCCUAUCAGCUUUCGAUGGUAGUAUAUGGGACUACCAUGGCAGUAACGGGUAACGAAGAAUUUGGGUUCGAUUUCGGAGAGGGAGCCUGAGAGAUGGCUACCACAUCCAAGGAAGGCAGCAGGCGCGUAAAUUACCCAAUCCUGACAUAGGGAGGUAGUGACAAUAAAUCACAAUGCGGAACUUUU